rnacentral:misc_RNA from 1 species
GAUGAAGAACGCAGCGAAAUGCGAUAAGUAGUGUGAAUUGCAGAAUUCAGUGAAUCAUCGAAUCUUUGAACGCACAUUGCGCCCGUUGGUAUUCCGGCGGGCAUGCCUGUUCGAGCGUCAUUUCAACCCUCAAACCCCCGGGUUUGGUGUUGGGGAUCGGCUCUGCCUCACGGCGGUGCCGCCCCCGAAAUACAUUGGCGGUCUCGCUGCAGCCUCCAUUGCGUAGUAGCUAACACCUCGCAACUGGAACGCGGCGCGGCCAUGCCGUAAAACCCCAACUUCUGAAUGUUGACCUCGGAUCAGGUAGGAAUACCCGCUGAACUUAAGCAUAUCAAUAAGCGGAGGA